rnacentral:misc_RNA from 1 species
GAAGCAGCACAGUGGACGGAAACGACGGGAAAAGAGGGUGCAAACCGGGGUGGCUGAGACCUGUCGAGUCUCUGCGUCUUCACGGUCGGCCAACCGGAGUUUUUUUCGGCUCGUGUUGCCCGCCCCCAUCCCCCCCGUUGGUGUGUUGGCGUCCCCAUCACUGUCGCCCGUUUGUGCCUUCCCCCACCCACCAGCAGUUGUGCCUCUCUCUCUCUGUAUUGGGCGGCACUAUCACUGUUACGCUCAAUACAGAGUGUGAAAGAAGGCUGUGUUGACGUUACAGCAGAACAAUGCUACUGGUACCACAAGCCCAAACCGCCGUGAGGGGAAUGUCGGUCGAGCAUCAACAAGCCGCGGCUCGGACCAACACUUUGAUACGCGCCAACCGCCCGAAAAAACGCCCUCGACACGCCCCACACAGCGCCUCUCCAUCCGCCAUAGUGGCUCCCACCGAUCGCCACAUGUGUCUCAACACUGCGCGAUAAAGUUGCCCCAAUCCAAUGAAGACACAGUCCUCUAUCAGCGUCAGUACUAAAAAAAUAAAGUUGCCGUCCAAAGAGGAAGCUCUCUGCUGCCGGUGACAGGAGAUGCUACUAUCUCCGUAAAACAGUCACGUGGAGUCGCACCAGUGGUGGGAGGUGACAGGACGUGAGUGGAGGUGAGUGAGGUGCGAGUGGACGGUGGCAGUGGGACAGAAAGGGAUACCCUAACCCGUAGGCCAACUGAUCCUAGCAGACUUGGAUGCAUAUUGAACCUACCAGGAACGAUUAUGAUACUGACAAGUACGAUGCUGACAAGCGGUGAACGAUUGCCAGUACAAUUCCUCGUGGUGCCGCUUCUUUUUCAAUGCCUAUCUGAGAGAAAGUGUCUUAUGCCCGAGAGUUCAAACUAAUAGUUGCUAUAUUGGUACCGAUACCUUGUGUUUAUGUUAUGUUCCCUAGCCAAUAAAGGUCAAGACAACGUAAGGGCCUUCAAGCCGUGUGC